rnacentral:lncRNA from 1 species
AUUGAGAAAUCCUCCCCGUGGUUCACGGUAAGGCGAGAUUUCCCUCUCUCUCUGACAGGGACCUGCGGGAAGAGCUGAGAGAAUACGAAGAAACCUUCAGAACAGAAGUGGAUGGCUGCAUAAGGUACAUUGACACUCUCCCAUCUGAGGAUUUCCAGGGCUUGGUUAAUCCUCAGGAGAUCCCGAAUGCCAUGGAGAAGUACCUGUUCACCAAGUUCUGGGAGAGAUGGCAGCAUGGCAGAAGGAAGCCGGCCAAUAUACCCUACAAGGAGCUGACCAAACCCGAGGAAGAAAGAAAAGCAGAUGGACAGCUCAGCGAGGUGAGGAUUAGUUCUAUCGCAGCCACGCCAAGAGACCACAGCCGAGGAUCGGGGCCCCGUUA